AUACAGGCCUCAACAGGGAGACUACUCCCGGGGGCACAGCUUGGGGAACGGAGAGGCAGCUCAGUGAGAGGAUGUUAGGAGCUGCUUAGGCACAGAGCAACCUUGCCUGAUGUUGGUAUUUUUGUGAGAUUGGGCACCAGGGGAGGACACCCUGGCCUGGCUGGGAGGGCCAGUCCAGCUUCUCACACCACCCGGCCUCGCCCUAAGUGCCAGAUCCGGUCCCGGAUGUUGGGCUUCUUUGCUUUCUCAGCUGUCACUGUCUUGGUGUAGAAUUCCACCAACAAACGAAAAGGCGAUGGAAUUGUGUCUCACACUAACUGUGACAAGGACCAUCAGUCAGGUCUGGAUUUCACUGUCAGAGACAAAGGUCUUAGGCUCCAAAUCCAGCUGGGGAGUGCAGGCCCCUCCAACCACGCGGCUCGGGGCCGGGCACCCCCU